UACGUAGGGUGCGAGCGUUAAUCGGAAUUACUGGGCGUAAAGCGUGCGCAGGCGGCGCGUUAAGUCAGGUGUGAAAGCCCCGAGCUUAACUUGGGAAUUGCGCUUGUGACUGGCGUGCUGGAGUGUGGCAGAGGGAGGUGGAAUUCCACGUGUAGCAGUGAAAUGCGUAGAGAUGUGGAGGAACACCGAUGGCGAAGGCAAUCCCCUGGGCCUGCACUGACGCUCAUGCACGAAAGCGUGGGGAGCAAACAGG
rnacentral:rRNA from 1 species